GCACCGUCACAUCACGACACAUAUGUAUAUGUGUAUGUAUAUGCAUAUGGAUGGAUGGAUGUAUCUGAAGGAAGGAAAACGGGCGUGGAGGACAUCAUAAUGUGAUGACCUCUGCAGCGACUUGCUGUAUUCAUGCAUGCAUCCUGCGAGGCUGUUCGUCUGUUAGUCGCCUCCAUUUGCAGCGACAAGAUCACUUCUCAGCAGUCAAGUCAAGAUGCUCGCCGCGAUACCGAUUGUCUGUGAUAUUUUCACAUGAGUUUGAGAGCAGUCAAAAAAAAAAAAAAAAACAAACAAACAAACACAAAAAAAUAUCAUUUCCCGAUAAUGUCCCCACAUAUCUGAAACCCGCCA
rnacentral:sRNA from 1 species